GACGAACGCUGGCGGCGUGCUUAACACAUGCAAGUCGAACGGUAAGGCUCCAGCUUGCUGGGGUACACGAGUGGCGAACGGGUGAGUAACACGUGGGUGACCUGCCCUGCACUUCGGGAUAAGCCUGGGAAACUGGGUCUAAUACCGGAUAGGACCAUGGUGUGGAUACUGUGGUGGAAAGUUUUUUCGGUGUGGGAUGGGCCCGCGGCCUAUCAGCCUGUUGGUGGGGUAAUGGCCUACCAAGGCGGCGACGGGUAGCCGGCCUGAGAGGGUGGACGGCCACAUUGGGACUGAGACACGGCCCAGACUCCUACGGGAGGCAGCAGUGGGGAAUAUUGCACAAUGGGCGGAAGCCUGAUGCAGCGACGCCGCGUGGGGGAUGACGGCCUUCGGGUUGUAAACUCCUUUCACCAUCGACGAAGGGUUUCUGACGGUAGAUGGAGAAGAAGCACCGGCUAACUACGUG
rnacentral:rRNA from 1 species